AUAGUGUAUAAAACCAAUAAGCUCUCAACGUUAGCAGCAGAUGGUAAAAAUGAAACUGAUUCUUAUUGCACUUAUAGUUCUGGUUUCGGCCGGGCUAAUACUAGCCGAGCAUAGUGAUGUGCGCUCAAUCGAAACACCCCUGGUGAUGUUGGUGAAACGAUCACCCCAGAUUAAGGCAUGCAUGAUGAAACCACUCUGCAGACGCAGACAUUUAGAGCAAAUCGGCGGAUAGCAUUCGAUCAGAACGGAAGACUUCAAAUCAAUGUUGUGUGGAAAGCGACGUCAAUUACAUGGAAUGUAUGUAAUUGUAUUGUGAAUUAAAUGUCGGCUGUUGGUAAUGGAAGAGGCUUUUGUGUUUAUUGUAUUUUAUUUGAGAGCGAUCAAUAGUAAACAAAAUUUGUUCGUAUGAAA